ensembl:lncRNA
UUUGGAGACAAUAGCAUUUGCUGUGCUAUAUCCAUCCAGAGCUGGAUGCUUUCUAGUGGUAGAAAAGCAAAAUACACUAAUGGCUCUCAGAUGCUUUACAGACCUUAACAACAUCAGGCUCACAACAACUCUAUAAGAAAUAAGAACCAUAAUUGUCCCUAUUUUAAGGGGAAAGAAGAAUGGAUACCAGUGCAUUAAGCAACUGACUAAGUAAUGCCUUAUCAGGAGAUGUGGUUGGCUCUCCAUUACCUGAUGUCUCAAUAGCAAGACCGGAUUUCUUUCUGUCAAUCACACAGCAGCUCCUUCAGGAAGAAGUGGCUCAGGAAAAUAAAGGCUCACCUCCUUUGUCCCUCCUUUCCUUUCUUCAAAAAUGUGUCUUUUCCACUGAAAAAUGAGAAAAGUUCACUUUUCUUUAGACAGCUUCAUACAGAUGUGCAAUGCUAUAACGUGAUGGAAAGUACUGCAAGAAUAGUGAGAUGGUACAGUCUUUGGCACAAGCAAAUGAGGACAAGCCCAAAUGCAACUGUUGCGGGUACAGAAAUGAAGAAAAGAAGCUGCUUACCUUUGGAAGGCCUCAGAUAAGCAGAGAUCUCCAACAAGAUCCACUUGCCUCCCCCACCAAUCCUUAAAUAAGGGCUGGGAAGGGGUGGAUCCUGGCUGCAGCCCUUCCAUCACUCAGCACAUUGCAUGCACCUGAGCUGCCCUGGGCUGGCCCUGCCUUCCCCCCAGGUGCUCCAUCACUGCUUCAGGCUGUGACUUAGCAUUUCUGCUAUAGAGCCUUGACUCCAUUCCUCCUGUGCAUGAUGCUGGUGCUGCCCCUAAACCUACAGUGGGUCAGUGAUAGGUGGCACCUUAACCUUAUCCUGCCUUCAUUCAGCCCGGAAGUGCAAAGAAUUUCCCCCAAAUGGGGACUCUGUGGGGCAUGUUUGGAAGUAAAUGGGUUGCUUGGGUGGUUACAACAACUGCAGGAUUGAACUAUUUAUUUAUUUGGAAAACAUGAGACCUAAACGUGUAUUGCUUUUACUGCAAAACUGAAGGGAUGAGGUUU